GACAGAGGAUGCAAGCGUUAUCCGGAAUGAUUGGGCGUAAAGCGUCUGUAGGUGGCUUUUUAAGUCCGCCGUCAAAUCCCAGGGCUUCAACCCUGGACAGGCGGUGGAAACUACCAAGCUGGAGUACGGUAGGGGCAGAGGGAAUUUCCGGUGGAGCGGUGAAAGUGCGUAGAGAUCGGAAAGAACACCAACGGCGAAAGCAACUCUGCUGGGCCGACACUGACACUGGAGAGACGAAAGCUAGGGGAGCGAAUGGG
rnacentral:rRNA from 1 species